rnacentral:rRNA from 1 species
UACGUAGGGUGCAAGCGUUGUCCGGAAUUAUUGGGCGUAAAGGGUGCGUAGGCGGCAUGAUAAGUUAUUGGCGGCAAAUCGAGGCUCAACCUCGUGGAAACUGAUAAUACUGUCUUGCUUGAGUGCAGAAGAGGUUAACGGAACUCCAUGUGGAGCGGUAAAAUGUGUAGAUAUAUGGAAGAACAUCAAUAACGGCGAAGGCAGUUAACUAUUCUGUUACUGACGUUGAGGCACGAAAGCGUGGGGAGCAAAACGG